UGUUGCAGUGGAGGGCUGAGGCUGAGUUCAGAGUCGGCAUGUGAGGGGGGACAGGAGAUCUUCAGGUGCAGAGUGAUGCUGAGGAACAGUGGUCAUAGCCACUGUGUCAACAACUGGUGAUUACUCUGUGCCACAGCGGCUACAUCCUGCCAGAAAACUUGAAUGAUAUCAUCCAGCCAGGCCAAAUCAUGUUGCGAGAACAUCAAAUCCAGCAGCUUUCGUACAACCAUGAGACCGAGAAUCUACAAAACCAGGUAGAUUAACAUUAUCUUGUCAUUGUUGUAAAUCGCCGCUAUAUAAAUAAUACAUAAUUGAAGAGAGUUGUACUACUACUAAUACAAUUAUUAUUACCAUAUCAGUGAAUGAGGCCCAGUGGCUCAGUAGCAGACUUUCUGAAAUAGAGGGGCCUGGGUUCGAGUCUGCUCUAGAACAUUUCUUAAUAAAGCAAGUUAACAAGUAAAAAUGAUACGCCUUGGAGAUAUCCUUUUAAAGUUGGUUUUGAUGUGACAAAAACCAACUUGUACAAGCAACAUUACAUUUUUCAUUGUUUUGUACAAUGUUUAAUGGAUUUAUUUUCAGUGCUUAGUUGUAUUUGGGAAUCAUUUGGAGAAUCUUUUACAAAACGGUGUUUUAUCUUCAGGUUUUCAUAUGACAAAAGAAAGAAGAAAAAAAGGACGACUGAUUAAUUUUUUCCAGGGUCAAUACAAUUUGGCAAUUUACUUGAGUAGAAAAUAUUAGAUUGAUAAUGGACGAAAUUGUUGGGUCUGUGUUUCCCCGCUAAUUCUAGAGACUUAUUCAUCAUGAAGAAAACAAGACAGUCGAUCGAUCGAUUAUUUGCGCAAGGGAGGCCUCGUCUGUGUCCACCAUGAAAAUGACCCCCAGAUCUGACCUCCUCCUGCUACCUUUUAUUGAGAGACAGUUCACACAAAACACGUCAGAACAAAGCCACGCCCCCUUGGUUCUAAGACAAAGCAUUUUAUGUAUAUGUGUGAACUUCUGUAAGAGUGUGUGUGUGUGUGUGUGUGUGUGUGUGUGUGUGUGUGUGUGUGUGUGUGUGUGUGU